rnacentral:rRNA from 1 species
ACAUGCAAGUCGAACGCUGAAGCCCCAGCUUGCUGGGGUGGAUGAGUGGCGAACGGGUGAGUAACACGUGAGUAACCUUCCCUUGACUCUGGGAUAAGCCCGGGAAACUGGGUCUAAUACCGGAUACGACCUCCUGCCGCAUGGUGUGGGGGUGGAAAGAUUUAUCGGUUUUGGAUGGACUCGCGGCCUAUCAGCUUGUUGGUGAGGUAAUGGCUCACCAAGGCGACGACGGGUAGCCGGCCUGAGAGGGUGACCGGCCACACUGGGACUGAGACACGGCCCAGACUCCUACGGGAGGCAGCAGUGGGGAAUAUUGCACAAUGGGCGCAAGCCUGAUGCAGCGACGCCGCGUGAGGGAUGACGGCCUUCGGGUUGUAAACCUCUUUCAGUAGGGAAGAAGCGAAAGUGACGGUACCUGCAGAAGAAGCGCCGGCUAACUACGUGCCAGCAGCCGCGGUAAUACGUAGGGCGCGAGCGUUAUCCGGAAUUAUUGGGCGUAAAGAGCUCGUAGGCGGUUUGUCGCGUCUGCCGUGAAAGUCCGGGGCUUAACCCCGGAUCUGCGGUGGGUACGGGCAGACUAGAGUGCAGUAGGGGAGACUGGAAUUCCUGGUGUAGCGGUGAAAUGCGCAGAUAUCAGGAGGAACACCGAUGGCGAAGGCAGGUCUCUGGGCUGUUACUGACGCUGAGGAGCGAAAGCAUGGGGAGCGAACAGGAUUAGAUACCCUGGUAGUCCAUGCCGUAAACGUUGGGCACUAGGUGUGGGGGACAUUCCACGUUUUCCGCGCCGCAGCUAACGCAUUAAGUGCCCCGCCUGGGGAGUACGGCCGCAAGGCUAAAACUCAAAGGAAUUGACGGGGGCCCGCACAAGCGGCGGAGCAUGCGGAUUAAUUCGAUGCAACGCGAAGAACCUUACCAAGGCUUGAC